UUUAAUAUUAAUAAUAUUGCUCUAAAAAAAUAAAAUUUGCAGGAUAGUACAAGUACAAUAUAUAUGCAGCAGUAGCAGUUGAGAUAGUGAGACAGCGGUGGCGAUGGUGGCAAUGGUAGUAUGGUGAAGGCAGGGCCAUUCCUAGCACGAUAAUUGGGGUCGGGUGGGGGGGGGGGUAUAUUCAUAUAUUUGUGUUCUGCCAAGGCCUCGAAAUAAGUGCCAGUCACUGACCGGUAAAAAGUCACAGUUUGACCGGCAAAUCUUGUCGCCUGGCGGACAUACGUGACCAGUAAAUUUUUUAAUAAAAAAGUACGUUAAAAAAUGGAGCAGAUUUUUAUUUCCAAUUUUCCAAAGAAGCGUAUAUGUCCGUCUACAGUGCAGGCAAAUAAUGGCGGCGAAGUGACACAUUUUGUCAUACAUGCAGAUACGAUAUACCACAAGCAUUGUACCUAAGGGGCGGAUAAUUUGACUUUGGGGGGGGGGUUGGAAGAUUUCAAAAAAAAUAUUCCUGCAACCCAAGGAGAAAGAAAGAAAAAAUCAUGCAGCAUACAAUCGAGAAAAAAAAUAUCAUGCAAAAAGGGGCGCUCAAAAAAAUAUUCUUGCAUGUAAAUCUACUGAAGCUUUUCACUUCAGUAUUGUAUCCACAGGCUUGAAAGAUUUUGCAUUUUUGAGCAGCUAGCACAUUCACUUAAAAGAACACUGGGUGAACAGUGGACAGCAUCACAGGGAUAGCCAGUCGGACAUUCCCUGGCAAAAUUGUUGCCCUUUAUAUAAUAAACAGAAAAAUACAUGGGCAUGGGCGUCAAUCCUUGGGGGAUGGGGGGGACAUGUCCCCCCAGUUUUUGGAGUAGGGGGGAC